CCUACGGGGGGCAGCAGUCGAGAAUCAUUCACAAUGGGGGAAACCCUGAUGGUGCGACGCCGCGUAGGGGAAUGAAGGUCUUCGGAUUGUAAACCCCUGUCAUGUGGGAGCAAAUUAAAAAGAUAGUACCACAAGAGGAAGAGACGGCUAACUCUGUGCCAGCAGCCGCGGUAAUCCAGAGGUCUCAAGCGUUGUUCGGAAUCACUGGGCGUAAAGCGUGCGGAGGCUGUUUCGUAAGUCGUGUGUGAAAGGCGCGGGCUCAACCCGCGGACGGCACAUGAUACUGCGAGACUAGAGUAAUGGAGGGGGAACCGGAAUGCUCGGUGUAGCAGUGAAAUGCGUAGAUAUCGAGAGGAACACUCGUGGCGAAGGCGGGUUCCUGGACAUUAACUGACGCUGAGGCACGAAGGCCAGGGGAGCGAAAGGGAUUAGAUACCCCAGUAGUC
rnacentral:rRNA from 1 species